UGCAGUCGAGCGGCAGCGGAAAGUAGCUUGCUACUUUGCCGGCGAGCGGCGGACGGGUGAGUAAUGUCUGGGAAACUGCCUGAUGGAGGGGGAUAACUACUGGAAACGGUAGCUAAUACCGCAUGACCUCGAAAGAGCAAAGUGGGGGAUCUUCGGACCUCACGCCAUCGGAUGUGCCCAGAUGGGAUUAGCUAGUAGGUGAGGUAAUGGCUCACCUAGGCGACGAUCCCUAGCUGGUCUGAGAGGAUGACCAGCCACACUGGAACUGAGACACGGUCCAGACUCCUACGGGAGGCAGCAGUGGGGAAUAUUGCACAAUGGGCGCAAGCCUGAUGCAGCCAUGCCGCGUGUGUGAAGAAGGCCUUAGGGUUGUAAAGCACUUUCAGCGAGGAGGAAGGCAUCACACUUAAUACGUGUGGUGAUUGACGUUACUC
rnacentral:rRNA from 1 species